CCUACGGGAGGCAGCAGUGGGGAAUAUUGCACAAUGGGGGAAACCCUGAUGCAGCGACGCCGCGUGAGUGAAGAAGUAUUUCGGUAUGUAAAGCUCUAUCAGCAGGGAAGAAAAUGACGGUACCUGACUAAGAAUCCCCGGCUAACUACGUGCCAGCAGCCGCGGUAAGACGUAGGGGGCAAGCGUUAUCCGGAUUUACUGGGUGUAAAGGGAGCGUAGGCGGCCAGACAAGUCAGAAGUGAAAGCCUAGGGCUCAACCCUAGGACUGCAUUUGAAACUGGCGGGCUGGAGUGCAGGAGAGGUAAGCGGAAUUCGUGGUGUAGCGGUGAAAUGUGUAGAUAUUAGGAAGAACACCAGUGGCGAAGGCGGCUUACUGGACUGUAACUGACGUUGAGGCUCGAAAGCGUGGGGAGCAAACAGGAUUAGAUACCCGAGUAGUC
rnacentral:rRNA from 1 species